GUCUCGGUGGCUGAGUCAGUUAAGCAUCUGACUUCAGCUCAGGUCACGAUCUCAUGGUCUGUGGGUUCGAGCCCCGCAUUGGGCU
rnacentral:tRNA from 1 species